GUUGCCUGCUUCAUAUCAACAAGCACCUCUCCCCUGAGCCACUCACAGCCCUGUCCUGUCUGCAUCCAAUGCCAAGGUCUGGGGAUCCUCACUGGGACACUCAGCCUUGGGUUGGCCCAAUCAUGACUUAGACCCAAUCUGGAGCCCCUGGCUUCUCUUCUCCAGACCUUGAAGUAAAGACGGGGUGUGCUCCUUGUCACCAGUGCUGGCAGCCCAGGAGAAGGUGAAGCUGAGGAGCAGAUGAAGUUGACUGAAUGCCACACUGCCUGCCCCUCCUCAGGACCCCAUGGAGGCUUGCAGGACGAUGUGCCUUUCCAGCUCGCCUAACUACACACCACCUGUAGCACCAUCCUCCACGGCAGAGGGAACUAGAAGCAACCCAGUGGCCCACAUAAGUCAAAGCAAAGAGCAGCAGCCCGGGCUCGGACUGCAAAGCUCAUGGCUCCUUCACAGAGAGGGAGUGAAGUCCCAAGUGGAAGCUGGCAGAGGCUGUAUUGAACUGCCCAGUCUGUCUGAGGAAGAUCCUGGCACAAGUCCAGAACCCAGGAGCUAAGGCCAGGCAGGUCCUACUCACCAGAGGAUGCUGAGACAUCUGAGGAUGCCCAGAGCUCUCCCCUCGAAGUCAGGACUGGUCUAGCAGCCCUGUGGGAUGGGCUUAGGGGCAAUUGUGGCUCCAUUUCACAGACUGAGAUCCUGAAGUCCAGAGGCAUGGAUGUACCACAUGCAGUCAUUGGUACAUGCAUCCCUGGGGACAUACACCCCUGGGGACACGCACCUCUGUUUUUGUUAGAGUUAGUUCUGGUCAAGAGUCUAGAAUGUCUGGCCUAGGUGGAGACCUAACAUUCCAGUUGGGCCAUGUCAUUUUUCAGCCAAGAGAACGGUCCUGUGGUGGUGGGUUCACUUUAAGCCGUGCUAAAGAGAUGAGCAGAAUAACUAGCCUUUAGUGAGAUACACCCUACUUUUCCUUGCAGAAUCCCAGCCUUCUAGUGUAGUAGCUUAGGGCUACAGCCACAUAACAUGUCUAAGUCUGCCCUGCCCAUUUUCCUGAAUUAUUCAGAAAAAGUGUAACUUCUCCUUCUCUCCUUUCUGCCUCUUUUCUAAGCAUUAUUUCUUUUCAGACCUUCCCUCCAACACUUAGGACUCUCCUACACAUUCCCUAAAGCCUCACCUCCCACCCAGAUCUGCCUGUCUGCCAUGCAUCUGCCCUCCAUGCCAGCCUAGUGGCAUGGCCUUUGUCCUCUCCUCCACUCUUGUCCUCUGGGCAGCUGUGAGGUUUACCGCUUGCCUGCCUCAGGGGUUUUGUUUUAAACUCUAAUAAAAUGGUCCUUGAGCUUC